AUUGAACGCUGGCGGCAUGCCUUACACAUGCAAGUCGAACGGCAGCACGGGUGCUUGCACCUGGUGGCGAGUGGCGAACGGGUGAGUAAUACAUCGGAACGUACCUUAUCGUGGGGGAUAACGCAGCGAAAGUUGCACUAAUACCGCAUACGCCCUGAGGGGGAAAGCGGGGGACCGUAAGGCCUCGCGCGAUUAGAGCGGCCGAUGUCUGAUUAGCUUGUUGGGGAGGUAAAAGCUCACCAAGGAGAUGAUCAGUAGCUGGUCUGAGAGGACGAGCAGCCACACUGGGACUGAGACACGGCCCAGACUCCUACGGGAGGCAGCAGUGGGGAAUGUUGGACAAUGGGGGCAACCCUGAUCCAGCAAUGCCGCGUGAGUGAAGAAGGCCUUCGGGUUGUAAAGCUCUUUUGUCAGGGAAGAAACAGCAGCUCUAACACAGUCUGCGAAUGACGGUACCUGAAGAAUAAGCACCGGCUAACUACGUGCCAGCAGCCGCAGUAA
rnacentral:rRNA from 1 species